UGGGGAAUAUUGCACAAUGGAGGGAACUCUGAUGCAGCGACGCCGCGUGAACGAAGAAGGCUUUCGAGUCGUAAAGUUCUUUUAUAUGGGAAGAUAAUGACGGUACCAUAAGAAAAAGCCCCGGCUAACUACGUGCCAGCAGCCGCGGUAAUACGUAGGGGGCUAGCGUUGUCUGGAAUCACUGGGCGUAAAGGGUUCGCAGGCGGAAAUGCAAGUCAGGUGUAAAAGGCAGUAGCUUAACUACUGUAAGCAUUUGAAACUGCAUAUCUUGAGAAGAGUAGAGGUAAGUGGAAUUUUUAGUGUAGCGGUGAAAUGCGUAGAUAUUAAAAAGAAUACCGGUGGCGAAGGCGACUUACUGGGCUCAUUCUGACGCUGAGGAACGAAAGCGUGGGUAGCAAACAGG
rnacentral:rRNA from 2 species